UAAGCGACUAAGCGUACACGGUGGAUGCCCUGGCAGUCAGAGACGAUGAAGGACGUGCUAAUCUGCGAUAAGCGUCGGUAAGGUGAUAUGAACCGUUAUAACCGGCGAUUUCCGAAUGGGGAAACCCAGUGUGUUUCGACACACUAUCAUUAACUGAAUCCAUAGGUUAAUGAGGCGAACCGGGGGAACUGAAACAUCUAAGUACCCGACGGAAAAGAAAAUACAACCGACGAUUCCCCCAGUAGCGGCGAGCGAACGGGGAGGAGCCCAGAGCCUGAAUCAGUGUGUGUGUUAGUGGAAGCGUCUGGAAAGGCGCGCGAUACAGGGUGACAGCCCCGUACACAAAAAUGCACAUGCUGUGAGCUCGAUGAGUAGGGCGGGACACGUGGUAUCCUGUCUGAAUAUGGGGGGACCAUCCUCCAAGGCUAAAUACUCCUGACUGACCGAUAGUGAACCAGUACCGUGAGGGAAAGGCGAAAAGAACCCCGGCGAGGGGAGUGAAAAAGAACCUGAAACCGUGUACGUACAAGCAGUGGGAGCGCAGAGCAAUCUGUGUGACUGCGUACCUUUUGUAUAAUGGGUCAGCGACUUAUAUUCUGUAGCAAGGUUAACCGAAUAGGGGAGCCGAAGGGAAACCGAGUCUUAACCGGGCGUUAAGUUGCAGGGUAUAGACCCGAAACCCGGUGAUCUAGCCAUGGGCAGGUUGAAGGUUGGGUAACACUAACUGGAGGACCGAACCGACUAAUGUUGAAAAAUUAGCGGAUGACUUGUGGCUGGGGGUGAAAGGCCAAUCAAACCGGGAGAUAGCUGGUUCUCCCCGAAAGCUAUUUAGGUAGCGCCUCGUGAAUUCAUCUCCGGGGGUAGAGCACUGUUUCGGCAAGGGGGUCAUCCCGACUUACCAACCCGAUGCAAACUGCGAAUACCGGAGAAUGUUAUCACGGGAGACACACGGCGGGUGCUAACGUCCGUCGUGAAGAGGGAAACAACCCAGACCGCCAGCUAAGGUCCCAAAGUCAUGGUUAAGUGGGAAACGAUGUGGGAAGGCCCAGACAGCCAGGAUGUUGGCUUAGAAGCAGCCAUCAUUUAAAGAAAGCGUAAUAGCUCACUGGUCGAGUCGGCCUGCGCGGAAGAUGUAACGGGGCUAAACCAUGCACCGAAGCUGCGGCAGCGACACUGUGUGUUGUUGGGUAGGGGAGCGUUCUGUAAGCCUGUGAAGGUGUGCUGUGAGGCAUGCUGGAGGUAUCAGAAGUGCGAAUGCUGACAUAAGUAACGAUAAAGCGGGUGAAAAGCCCGCUCGCCGGAAGACCAAGGGUUCCUGUCCAACGUUAAUCGGGGCAGGGUGAGUCGACCCCUAAGGCGAGGCCGAAAGGCGUAGUCGAUGGGAAACAGGUUAAUAUUCCUGUACUUGGUGUUACUGCGAAGGGGGGACGGAGAAGGCUAUGUUGGCCGGGCGACGGUUGUCCCGGUUUAAGCGUGUAGGCUGGUUUUCCAGGCAAAUCCGGAAAAUCAAGGCUGAGGCGUGAUGACGAGGCACUACGGUGCUGAAGCAACAAAUGCCCUGCUUCCAGGAAAAGCCUCUAAGCAUCAGGUAACAUCAAAUCGUACCCCAAACCGACACAGGUGGUCAGGUAGAGAAUACCAAGGCGCUUGAGAGAACUCGGGUGAAGGAACUAGGCAAAAUGGUGCCGUAACUUCGGGAGAAGGCACGCUGAUAUGUAGGUGAAGUCCCUCGCGGAUGGAGCUGAAAUCAGUCGAAGAUACCAGCUGGCUGCAACUGUUUAUUAAAAACACAGCACUGUGCAAACACGAAAGUGGACGUAUACGGUGUGACGCCUGCCCGGUGCCGGAAGGUUAAUUGAUGGGGUCAGCGCAAGCGAAGCUCUUGAUCGAAGCCCCGGUAAACGGCGGCCGUAACUAUAACGGUCCUAAGGUAGCGAAAUUCCUUGUCGGGUAAGUUCCGACCUGCACGAAUGGCGUAAUGAUGGCCAGGCUGUCUCCACCCGAGACUCAGUGAAAUUGAACUCGCUGUGAAGAUGCAGUGUACCCGCGGCAAGACGGAAAGACCCCGUGAACCUUUACUAUAGCUUGACACUGAACAUUGAGCCUUGAUGUGUAGGAUAGGUGGGAGGCUUUGAAGUGUGGACGCCAGUCUGCAUGGAGCCGACCUUGAAAUACCACCCUUUAAUGUUUGAUGUUCUAACGUGGACCCGUGAUCCGGGUUGCGGACAGUGUCUGGUGGGUAGUUUGACUGGGGCGGUCUCCUCCUAAAGAGUAACGGAGGAGCACGAAGGUUGGCUAAUCCUGGUCGGACAUCAGGAGGUUAGUGCAAUGGCAUAAGCCAGCUUGACUGCGAGCGUGACGGCGCGAGCAGGUGCGAAAGCAGGUCAUAGUGAUCCGGUGGUUCUGAAUGGAAGGGCCAUCGCUCAACGGAUAAAAGGUACUCCGGGGAUAACAGGCUGAUACCGCCCAAGAGUUCAUAUCGACGGCGGUGUUUGGCACCUCGAUGUCGGCUCAUCACAUCCUGGGGCUGAAGUAGGUCCCAAGGGUAUGGCUGUUCGCCAUUUAAAGUGGUACGCGAGCUGGGUUUAGAACGUCGUGAGACAGUUCGGUCCCUAUCUGCCGUGGGCGCUGGAGAACUGAGGGGGGCUGCUCCUAGUACGAGAGGACCGGAGUGGACGCAUCACUGGUGUUCGGGUUGUCAUGCCAAUGGCACUGCCCGGUAGCUAAAUGCGGAAGAGAUAAGUGCUGAAAGCAUCUAAGCACGAAACUUGCCCCGAGAUGAGUUCUCCCUGACCCUUUAAGGGUCCUGAAGGAACGUUGAAGACGACGACGUUGAUAGGCCGGGUGUGUAAGCGCAGCGAUGCGUUGAGCUAACCGGUACUAAUGAACCGUGAGGCUUAACCU
rnacentral:rRNA from 1 species